GUGCUCGCUUCAGCAGCACAUAUUCUAAAACUGGAACAAUACAGAGAAGAUUAGCAUGGCCCCUGCACAAGGAUGACACGCAAAUUCGUGAAGCAUUUCAUAUUUUA
rfam:Tupaia chinensis contig109731, whole genome shotgun sequence.